rnacentral:rRNA from 1 species
UACGGAGGGGGCUAGCGUUGUUCGGAAUUACUGGGCGUAAAGCGCACGUAGGCGGCUUUGUAAGUUAGAGGUGAAAGCCCGGAGCUCAACUCCGGAAUUGCCUUUAAGACUGCAUCGCUAGAAUUGUGGAGAGGUAAGUGGAAUUCCGAGUGUAGAGGUGAAAUUCGUAGAUAUUCGGAUGAACACCAGUGGCGAAGGCGACUUACUGGACACAUAUUGACGCUGAGGUGCGAAAGCGUGGGGAGCAAACAGG